rnacentral:misc_RNA from 1 species
GAAACUUGUUUAACCAGUCCACUCGUUCAUAAUCGGGGCAUUUCACCCAGAAAGGAAUAUCAGGCAGAAUAUCUUGCAAGGUGCUUGAGUCCAAUUCAUGAAGUGGUCUAACCGCCGGAUCCUAUAUUAUAUAGUCCACAUUCAAAAAUCAAAAUCCAAAAAGCCAAGCAGAAAAUAUAGAUAAUUUCAACAGACAGUCCUCAUUGUAACUUCAACCUGCUUAUUUUUAAAUAUGCACACAAUUAAAGUAAAUAAUAGAAGUGUUGGGUUUCCUUCAAAUGAAGAAACAAAAACAUCAUGAAAGAGUGCCUUUGGCAUCACUUGCCAAUGAACUAAUCCGUAUUAUCAUGCAGAGAAUUUUAGAAUUAGUGAAGCUUGAUUUUCAUAGUGUUCAAUUGUUCCAUUUCUAUCAUGAAGAGGAACACUUUCUGAAACUCUAAAAAUGACACUUCUAACACAUUAUCUGUGACAACGACACUAUAUUUCCCCAUUCAAAGAGAUAAAAUUCUCCAUCAAAUGAUCACUAAAUCAAAUAACUCUUUCUGCACCAUAAAAAUGAAAGCCAUCUAUUCAGUAGUGACUCAUGUUAUAUAUAAAAUUAAUUCAAAAAAUAAUUAAUUAAACUCGUUGUUUAUAUAUUUUGAGGGGUUAAUAUUACAUAUU